rnacentral:lncRNA from 1 species
AGCUACAACAGAUUGUGUGGACACAUCCCAACAGGAGGGAAACUUCAGUCGUUUGAUUCUUAUUCCUAUUCUCACAAUAAGUGUUUGUGUGGUGCACCUUUCGAUAAUUGCAAGUGAAGAUUCAAACUGCCAACCGCUACUAUUCUACUUUUGCCAAAGAAUCCAUAUAGAAGACAACUGUAUCUUUUUUAUUCGGAUUGAUUAAUAAAAAACAUCACCCCCAAAACUUUGUAUCUGAAUUCUGAUUAUGAAUUCUUAGUACAUUUUCAAAACCUCCCAAAUAAAGAAUAAGGGGCAUUCCUAAUUUCCUAUUAUUGUACUUCUUUUAAAAAAAAGUUAUCUGUUAAUUAAAUCACAUUGAAUAAUUGGUUCUAUAUAACUUCUAACAAUUACGUAGUAUCUUCUACACAAUAUAUAGAGUAGGUGUGGUGCAACUACGGUGAACUUUGGUGAACUUUGGUGAACUUUGAUAUUUUAUUCGAGAAGUUUUAUAGCAUUUUAUUUUUAAUUUGUUGAGGUACAUCCAACGUAUCAAAUCCGAUUUAUUAAAAGAAACAAAAUAUUGUGUCAUUUCACGUAAUUAGCACUUUUUGUUAAGUAGUACUUUUGAGUUUUGAUUAAUAAAAUUUUAACUAGUGUUAUUAUUUUUUUGUCAAAAACUAUCUUAAUUUUUCAUAAACCUUGUUGAAGUGUUUUUUUUUAUAAACUAUCUUAACUAGUGUAUUUAUACAAGAGAUUAACCUAAUCAUAUGUACUAUAGAAUGACUAAUCUUCCCAUACAUUUAUACACAUAUAACACAUAUAACUCUAACAGGUUUCGGUCAUCUUGCAGUGUAGUUGUGAUUAAGUGUAGUGACUGCUACCUAGAACCAAUUUUGGUUGUAGAUCCUCAAUGACAAUGAGUGACAAAAAGGAAAUAUAUAAUAGUUCUUCUUGUUAAAAUCUACUAGACUAUUUUUCUGACCAAUUUUUUACAUUGUUGUAAAAGAUGAAGGAAACAAGAAUGAUAAUUGGGUUUGGGCUAAGGCUACACAAGCUGAUAAGGCUUUUGACCAAGAAUUAUCGCAGGUAAGUUUUUUAUUUACCGAACUUAUAUAUUUUGUUUAUCCAAUUUUCAAUCCUACUAGUACAGCUUGUUAUUAGUAAAUUAAAAUUUUAUAUUUUCGUGUGAAUUGUGUGGUGCAAUGAAGCUGAUGGGAGAAGAGGAGAAGUGUGAGGAGAGGGAUGAAGAGUCUAGGAAGAGAAGGAUGACCACUGAAACUCACUUAGACUACAUCUACACUCAAAGCCACCACAAGCCGUAACCAUCCCCAACCCUCUUUAUUUAUUUUAUUUAUGCAUUAUAUUAUUAUUAUUAUAUAUAGAUGUGAAACUUAAAAAUAAAGGUUUAGUCUGGGAAAUACGAGUAAUCCAAAAAUAAAUGUAAAUAAUAAAUAAAUAAAAAGAUGUAUUUCCUUUUUCUUUUUGAUUUUGCUUAUUCCUUUUCAUAUAUAUAAAGGGUUAGAGGCCAAGGAACAGUUGUAGAAGAGAGAAAACAAAGCAGAGUUGGAGAAGAGAGAAAACAAAGCAGGAGAUAUGCAGGAGAAGAAUCCAGUUCCAGCGGACAUAGUGUUCGAGAUUCUGUCGUGGUUGCCUGCGAAAUCUAUAGGCAGGUUCGUUUGCGUAUCAAAGUUAUGGGCAAGCAUCAUCCACGGUGAGGAUUUCGUCAGAUGGUUCUCGUUACGGUCUCACCCAAAGAAGCAGCAGCCUCUUUGCUUCUUCUUUGCUUUCACUGAUAGAAUAAAAGUGUUUUGUCAAGAAAACUGCAAAGCAGAGUUGGAGACGGUGCAGAAGAAGACUCCACUUCCCGAGAGGAUGAUACUGCUUGAUAUCCUGACGAGGUUGCCUUUGAAAACUAUAGGCAGGUUCAUUUACGUAUCCAGGUCAUGGGCAACAACCUUCCACUCUGUGCAAUUAGUCAAGCAGUAUCCCUUCCGCUAUGCCUCCAAUGAUAGAAGAAUAACAGGUUAUCAAGAAAACUGGCACUUUUUCUCCAAACCAACUCCUCCAGGUCCUCAUGUAGCGGAAGAGGAGAAGAAACCACCUCCUGAGUUUCUAUCAAGUACGGUGUGUCACUCCAAGGAAGUCCGUUACAGGGAGCCUAGUUAUGUCCAUGGGUUGAUCAGUUUUUAUAAUGGCCAGGAACAAUUCGUCAGUAAUCCCACCACCGGUCAAUCCAUAACCUUACCCACUCUCAACUCCACUGAUUGCAUCGUCAGAUCCUUUUUAGGAUAUGAUCCAAUCGAUGCCCGAUACAAAAUCUUGUGCUUGACCAAUGUUACUCGCUUCUGUGAGCAUCAAGUCCUCACAUUGGGAGGAGCUCAAUCUUGGAGAACGAUCCAAUGCUCCACUCCUCACCGUCCCUUAGGAACUGACUCUGUCUGCAUAGACGGCGUUUUAUAUUACACUGCCUCCGGUUCCUUUACCAUCACGGAACCACUCUUGAUAAGAUUUGAUUUGAGGUCUGAAACUUUGGAAAUUGCUUCCACACUUCCCGAGGGCAUAGGAUCUGAUAAGUUGCACGAAACAACUUUGAUAAACUACCAUGGGAAAGUAGCUCUUGUCACUCAAGUGCACCAACGCUACACUUUCACUUUCACUUUCACUCUGUGGGUUCUAGAGGACGCCAAGAAACAAGAUUGGUCGAAACAACUCCUAUCUGUCUCUCUAAAUGGUACUGACAGGCAACGCCAUUCCGGUCUGAAAAUGUUGGGCGUUUCUGAAACGGGAGAGUUUGUCUAUGCACCCAUCGAGAUUAAAGAGUUGAAUGUUUACUUUGUGGAUCACGAAAGCAACCGGAUUAGAACUGUCGAGCUGCAAGGAAACACCGAACACAAGUUUAGAGAUUUUGAUAAAGUAUUUACUUUCUUACAUCACGUAGAAAGUCUUAUGUUUAUUUAGAGAUGGAGAGAGAGAGAGAGAGAGAGAGAGAGUUUCAUGUUGAUGCUUCUAAGCCUUUUCUUUUUGAACUAGUUUGUUCUAAGCUUUUACUAUGUAUGAGUCUUUAUCUUUGUUCUCACUUAAACGCAGACUCAAAGAAAUAAUCUGAGGGUGAAAAUCCAUGUCACUAAAGUCUAUUACUUGAAAAUUGUAAAUGGUAUUAAAAGACACACAACAUACAUACCAUUACAAGCAAAUGAGAAGAAGAAGAAGAUACAAAGAGAGGGGAAGGAGCUUUUGCAUUCGUACCUGUGAGUCUGUGACAUGCAUGAUUGUGGAGAUUAAACCAGGCAGGCUCUAGAGAAAAGACUCCACAAGAUACGUCAUUUCACUUCAGACCUGCAAAAAUAUUUGAUUACUCCAACAGAUAAAACCCCAAUAUUCAGAUAAACGCGUAGAUUUGUGUAAUCCUUCAAAAUAAAAUGCAAAAAAAGACCUAGGUUCUGAAUAAGAAAAGGCACAAUCAAACUCAUUAUUAUUAUAUGCAUAAGAGUGCAUUCAAAAUGAAUAAUGAAUUAAUAGUUCACCCGCACCUCUCGAUAAUUGCAAGUGAAGAUUCAAGUAGCCAGGCGCUACUAUUCUACUUUUGCCAAAGAAUCCAUAUGAUAGACAACUGUAUCUUUUUUAUUCGGAUUGAUUAAUAAAAAACAUCACACCCAAAACUUUGCAUCUGAAUUCUGAUUAUGAAUUCUUAGUACAUUUUCAAAACCUCCCAAAUAAAGAAUAAGGGGCAUUCCUAAUUUCCUAUUAUGGUACUUC